rnacentral:misc_RNA from 1 species
GAUGAAGAACGUAGCGAAAUGCGAUAAGUAAUGUGAAUUGCAGAAUUCAGUGAAUCAUCGAAUCUUUGAACGCACAUUGCGCCCGCCAGUAUUCUGGCGGGCAUGCCUGUUCGAGCGUCAUUUCAACCAUCAAGCCCCCGGCUUGUGUUGGGGACCUGCGGCUGCCGCAGGCCCUGAAAACCAGUGGCGGGCUCGCUGUCACACCGAGCGUAGUAGAUUUUCACCUCGCUCAGGGCGUGCUGCGGGUUCCGGCCGUAAAAAGCCUUAUUUACCCAAGGUUGACCUCGGAUCAGGUAGGAAGACCCGCUGAACUUAAGCAUAUCAAUAAGCGGAGGA